GCUGAAUUUCUGUUCGCAAGGUCACUUGUAACAAAAGCUGUAGUUACAGCUAGUGAAAUGAUUAGGCCUCCCGUUCGGCCAGUUGGAAGGCAAGAAAAUCGAAGCCUGAAGAGGGAGAUUGAGAAUUCAGAAUCAGAAGACGAUUAAGGCAUUUCUCUAUAGACAGCUUAGGUGAGAAAAUCAAAGUGUAAGAUUGCUUGUGGGGUUGAGUUUUCAGUCUCUUUUUUCUGAUUUUUCUUUUUUGUGAUUCUCGAGCUUCUACUCCGCUGCAGUAUAUAAGAAGACGGACAUGAUGAAAUAUUUAGUGAUGUACAUAAUAAUCGGAACAAGUGUUCGAUGUUAGGUGUUA